rnacentral:rRNA from 1 species
AUGGAAUUAGGGUCCCUUUUCCUCUUUCUAGCCACAACAAAGCGACCGUCGCCGCCAUCGACCAGGGAGCCAUGGCGGACGCAGGGAGAAGUCAUGGUUGUGCCAGAAAUCGUGGAGGGAGAGGUAAGAUUUCGAGUAACUGGCCGCAAGAUAAGCAGUAGAUCAACCAGGGGAGUGGCCUGCCGCCCCAACAGCUGUUCUUUGGAUUCGGCUUCCAAGGUCCACCACCACCAUAGGCCUUCCCAGGACAGUUCCCCGGACCUUACCCCCCGCAGCAGUGGGGUGGGUUGCAACAGCAGUGGUUUGCCCCCCCCCCCCAAGCAGAUGCAAGGGCAGUCCGGAGGGCAAAGGAGGGGGGGCAAGGUGAGGGGCACGGCGAAGGCCAACAACAGGUCAAGUCUCAAGUCAAGAAUCAGCAAAAAAAGAAAAGAAAUGAAUCAGAGAGCGCUUGCAACCAACCCAGGUUUGAUGUCUUAUGUGUCUGUUACUUGUUACAACUGUGGCGACCCCGGACAUCACAAAGACAAGUGUAUCAAACCCAAGAACUGUUUUAUUUGCAAGAUGAUCAAUCAUAAGGUGGAUGACUGUCAAGUGAGGAAGAAACCCCACUCUGCAGCAAAAUUCAUUGGAAGUGCAGCGCCAGGGCUAGGUUUCUACCACCUGGAUGCGCCUAAUGUGAAUGCUCAACACACAGGCUGGUUGAAAAAUGUUGGAAUUAUCUUUGUGGAGUCUGGUGAAGUCACAAAACAAGAGCUGGCAACAGAGUUUGCAAGCACUUACAAGACAAACUGGCCAUGGCCUAUCAAUGCACUUGAUGAAUGGUCGUUCCUGGUCAAGUUCCCACCUGAAAUAGAUGUUGAGCAAGUAGCUGGAUAA